rnacentral:rRNA from 1 species
GUAAUUGGAAUGAGUUAAGUAUAAACCCCUUUACAAGUAUCAAUUGGAGGGCAAGUCUGGUGCCAGCAGCCGCGGUAAUUCCAGCUCCAAUAGCGUAUAUUAAAGUUGUUGCAGUUAAAAAGCUCGUAGUUGGAUUUCUGUUAAUAAUUUAUAUAAAAUAUUUUGAUGAAUAUUUAUAUAAUAUUAACAUAAUUCAUAUUACUAUUUUUUUUUUUAGUAUAUGAAAUUUUACUUUGAGAAAAU